rnacentral:rRNA from 1 species
UACGUAGGGGGCUAGCGUUGUCCGGAAUCAUUGGGCGUAAAGCGCGUGUAGGCGGUCCGGUAAGUCCGCUGUGAAAGUCGGGGGCUCAACCCUCGGAUGCCGGUGGAUACUGUCGGGCUUGAGUACGGAAGAGGUGAGUGGAAUUCCUGGUGUAGCGGUGAAAUGCGCAGAUAUCAGGAGGAACACCAAUUGCGAAGGCAGCUCGCUGGGACGUUACUGACGCUGAGACGCGAAAGCGUGGGGAGCAAACAGG